rnacentral:rRNA from 1 species
CCUACGGGGCGCAGCAGUAGGGAAUCUUCCACAAUGGACGAAAGUCUGAUGGAGCAAUGCCGCGUGAGUGAAGAAGGCCUUCGGCUCGUAAAGCUCUGUUGGAAGAGAAGAACGGUAAUGGUAGUAAAUGAUCUUUAUUUGAUGGUAACUUACUAGGAAGCCACGGCUAACUACGUGCCAGCAGCCGCGGUAAUACGUAGGUGGCAAGCGUUGUCCGGAAUUAUUGGGCGUAAAGCGAGUGCAGGCGGUACCAUAAGUCUGA